AUGAGUCAAAGAUUAGGAAGAAGAGCAUUACCAGAGAUUCAAAUUGUAAAAUUGAAAAUCUGUUACCCUAAAAAAAGAACUACAUUUCCCAGGAGCCCACUGACUUCCUGUCAUUACAUACUUCCUGUAGACAGAGAAUAUAAUAGGAGGACAGGGAGAGUACUGCCUCUUCUUGGGCUUACAGCCAGUGGUGAUGGUGACAUUUCAUCAAUAGUUGAUAUUGCUUUCUCUCCUGGUACACUUGCAUCAAUGAGAAGGUAACCUUUUCUCCAAUCAUGAGAGAGAGAGGUGAAAAAGGAGCAAUCAAUGAAGCAGGUACCAAAUGUUGGAAAUAAAAAGAGAGAAAUUGACUGACUGCCUUCUGGA
rnacentral:lncRNA from 1 species